AAAUGCACAGGCUGUGAACUCGAUGAGUAGGGCGGGACACGUGACAUCCUGUCUGAAUAUGGGGGGACCAUCCUCCAAGGCUAAAUACUCCUGACUGACCGAUAGUGAACCAGUACCGUGAGGGAAAGGCGAAAAGAACCCCGGCGAGGGGAGUGAAAUAGAACCUGAAACCGUGUACGUACAAGCAGUGGGAGCACCUUCGUGGUGUGACUGCGUACCUUUUGUAUAAUGGGUCAGCGACUUAUAUUUUGUAGCAAGGUUAACCGAAUAGGGGAGCCGUAGGGAAACCGAGUCUUAACUGGGCGUCUAGUUGCAAGGUAUAGACCCGAAACCCGGUGAUCUAGCCAUGGGCAGGUUGAAGGUUGGGUAACACUAACUGGAGGACCGAACCGACUAAUGUUGAAAAAUUAGCGGAUGACUUGUGGCUGGGGGUGAAAGGCCAAUCAAACCGGGAGAUAGCUGGUUCUCCCCGAAAGCUAUUUAGGUAGCGCCUCGUGAACUCAUCUUCGGGGGUAGAGCACUGUUUCGGCUAGGGGGCCAUCCCGGCUUACCAAACCGAUGCAAACUCCGAAUACCGAAGAAUGUUAUCACGGGAGACACACGGCGGGUGCUAACGUCCGUCGUGAAGAGGGAAACAACCCAGACCGCCAGCUAAGGUCCCAAAGUCAUGGUUAAGUGGGAAACGAUGUGGGAAGGCACAGACAGCCAGGAUGUUGGCUUAGAAGCAGCCAUCAUUUAAAGAAAGCGUAAUAGCUCACUGGUCGAGUCGGCCUGCGCGGAAGAUGUAACGGGGCUAAACCAUGCACCGAAGCUGCGGCAGCGACACUUAGGCGUUGUUGGGUAGGGGAGCGUUCUGUAAGCCGUUGAAGGUGACCUGUGAGGG
rnacentral:rRNA from 1 species